UCCGGCUUUCACCGGCUGUCUCUCUAGAGUGCCCAGCUUUACCUGCUGGCAACUAAAGAUAAGGGUUGCGCUCGUUGCGGGACUGAACCCAACAUCUCACGACACGAGCUGACGACAACCAUGCACCACCUGUCACCGCUGUCCCCGAAAGGUAUUCAUUAUCUCUAAUGUUUUCAGCGGGAUGUCAAGCCCUGGUAAGGUUCUUCGCGUUGCUUCGAAUUAAACCACAUGCUCCACCGCUUGUGCGGGCCCCCGUCAAUUCCUUUGAGUUUCAGCCUUGCGGCCGUACUCCCCAGGCGGAGUGCUUAUUGGGUUUCCUUCGGCACUGAGGGGCAGUCCCCCCAACACCUAGCACUCAUCGUUUACGGCGUGGACUAC
rnacentral:misc_RNA from 1 species